rnacentral:rRNA from 1 species
AAUCAAGUGCCUUAAGGGUGUUCGGUGGAUGCCUUGGCGCUGAGAGGCGAUGAAGGACGUGCUACGCUGCGAUAAGCCGUGGGGAGCUGCGAAGAAGCUUUGAUCCGCGGAUUUCCGAAUGGGGAAACCCACCUUCGAUAGCCGGAACUCCAAGACCUUGGUCUUGGGGUUCGAUCGGGAGACUGUGAGACUUCAAGAUCAUGACGAUGCAAGUCGUCGAGGUUUUGGAUUUCCGGUUAUCAAGAGAAGGUAUGAGACUUCUGAAUACAUAGGAGGUUUCAAGCGAACCCAGGGAACUGAAACAUCUAAGUACCUGGAGGAAAGGACAUCAACCGAGACUCCGCUAGUAGUGGCGAGCGAACGCGGACCAGGCCAGUCAUGAAUGUAAGCCAACCAGAACCUGUCAGGAAAGCAGGGCCUCAGAGGGUGAUAGCCCCGUAUGGGUAAUGCGAACAUUCAUGCUCGAGUACGGCGGAACAC